UACGGGGGGAGCAAGCGUUGUUCGGAUUUACUGGGCGUAAAGGGCGCGUAGGCGGUCGUGACAAGUCACUUGUGAAAUCUCCGGGCUUAACUCGGAACGGUCAAGUGAUACUGUCGGACUAGAGUACAGAAGGGGCAACUGGAAUUCUCGGUGUAGCGGUGAAAUGCGCAGAUAUCAGGAGGAACACCGGUGGCGAAGGCGGGUCUCUGGGCCGAUACUGACGCUGAGGAGCGAAAGCGUGGGGAGCGAACAGG
rnacentral:rRNA from 1 species